rnacentral:rRNA from 1 species
UACGAUUGAGUCAAAAGAUUAUUAUUGGUUGGUAGUAAUUACUUUAUUUUUUAUUAUCUUUUAAAAUUUUAGGUUAAAUUUAUAUUUUAUUUUAUAAUAUCUAUUUAAAAUUCUAUGAAAUUUAGAUUAUAAACAAGGAUUAGAUACCCUUUUAUACUAAACGUUAAUAUUACACCUGGGUAGUAACAGUUAAGUUCUUGAAACCCAAAGAAUUUGGCGGUAUUUUAGUCUUUUCAGAGGAACCUGUUGUGUAAUCGAUAAUCCACGAUUUUAUUUACUUACACUUGUAAAUUCAGCUUUUAUACCUCCGUCAUAAGAAUAUUUUUUUAGAAUAAAUUUUCUUGAUUGUUAAAUACAUGAAUGUCAGGUCAAGGUGAAGCUUAUGUGUAAGCACUAAUGGGUUACAAUAAAGUUAUUUAUACGGAUUUUUUAAUUUAUAUUUAAAUUAAAGGUGGAUUUGUAAGUAAAGCUAAUUAAUUAGUUUGCUUGAUUUUAGCUCUAAAAUAUGCACACAUCGCCCGUCGCUCUCAUAAUAAAGUGAG